ACAAUUUUCCCCAAUUUUUUCCCGUUUUUCCCACCUGGAUCUUCCUCUUCCUCAUCUUCCUCCUCCUCUUCCUCACUCUCAAUUUUCCUCCUUUUCCCCCAAUUUUUCCCAAUUUUUUCCUCUUUUUUCCCCAUUUUUUCCCCAAUUUUCCUCCUCUCCUCUUCCUCAUCUUCCUCUUCCUCUUCCUCACUCUCAAAUUUUCUCCUUUUUUCCCUUUUUUGCCCCAAUUUUCCCUCAUUUUUCCCGGAUUUUUCUGAUUUUUCCUCAUUUUUUCCCUUUUUCACCCCAAUUUUCUUCCUCUCCUCCUCCUCUUCCUCUUCUUCAUCUUCGUCCUCACCUUCCUCUUCCUCGCUCUCAAUUUUCUUCCUUUUUGUCCCAAUUUCCCCCAUUUUUUCCUCAUUUUUUCCAGAUUUUUCCCCAAUUUUUACCCCAAUUUUCUUCCUCUCCUCAUCUUCCUCCUCAUCCUCAUCUUCAUCCUCACCUUCCUCUUCCUCACUCUCAAUUUUCCCCUUUUCUGCCCCAAUUUUUUCCUCUUCUCCCCCAUUUUUGUCCUUUCCUACCCCGUUUUCCACAGAAUUUUUGGAUUUUUCCUCAUUUUUUCCCUUUUUCACCCCAAUUUUCCCCUCCUCUUCCUCCUCACUCCCAAUUUCCCCCUUUUCCCCCAAAUUUUCCCCAUUUUUUUCCAAUUCUUCCCCAUUUUCCUUCCCCUCGCCAUCCUCACCCUCCAUUUCCCUCAUUUUCACCCCGUUUUCCUCAAUUUUUUCACAUUUUUCACUUUUUUUCACCCCAAUUUCCUUCUCCUCUUCCUCCUCCUCAUCCUCACUCCCAUUUUUCCCGCCUUUUUCCUCAUUUUUCGCGCCUUUUCCGCCAUUUUCCCGCCCUUCCAUCUCCCCGCUAGGGGGCGCCAGGAACAGGGCGUGGUCCCCGCUGGCCACGCCCCCUUCAAACUCCGCGCAUGCGCUGUCGGCGUUGCCCCAAUCCGGCGCCCUGCGGAGGAGAAAAGGGCGGAGUCAAGCAGGGCGUGGUCGCCCUGGGGGCGUGGCCAGCUCAGGGCGUGGCCCUGGGGGGGUCUCCGGUGCCUCCCCUCCCCCCUCCCGGUACCGUUCGCAGCCGCUCGGCGCCGCCGCCGCCGCCAUUUUUCAGUCCUCAGAGCGGCAGCCAAUGAGGAUUGAGAUAAAAGACAGCAGGGCGGGGCUUAAAGCGCGGGACCAAUUAGAAGGAGGCGCAAAAUACCCGGAAGUCAAAACAACUAAUAGAGGCGAGGAAAAGGCCGGAUGUAAAUGUCUGACAGCAUAGCGAGCCAAUCGGAAGCCUUAGUGAGCAGCGCUGGCCAAUAGGAGUAACGGGAAGGCCGAACCACGGGCUGGAGUGAGCGGCGGCCCCUUCAGCCAAUCAAAAGGGAUUGGAGCCACAGCAGCGAAUAGGAAGCGUCUGGGGGUGGGCCAAAGCAGCUGACCCAACGCCGGUCACACGGGAAGAGGCUGAGAAAUGACUGACAGCAGCACGAUCCAAUGAUAUUUUAGGAUUUUAAAAGCUCAACCAAUCAGCAAUACGAGCAGGCGGGACUUAUCCCGCCCAGCCAGCCAAGCUCGGAGAAGAACACGGAAGCGGCAGGCGGGAUUUCCGCAUCGCCAACCAAUCAGGCGUCGGCGCGCGAACCUUGCAACCAAUGAGAAGCGAGGGGAAGGGCGGGGCUUGUCCGCCAUGAACGGGGCGAGCGAGGGCGAUGUCGGCGGCUACAAACGGCGCUGCCGGGCCCUGAAACGGCGCCUGAAGCUGCUG
rnacentral:lncRNA from 1 species